UGCCAGCAGCCGCGGUAACACGAACUGCGCGAACGUUAUUCGGAAUCACUGGGCUUAAAGAGUGCGUAGGCGGCCUGUCAAGUUGGGUGUGAAAUCCCUCGACUCAACCGAGGAACUGCGCUCAAAACUGGCAGGCUUGAGGGAGACAGAGGUGAGCGGAACUGAUGGUGGAGCGGUGAAAUGCGUUGAUAUCAUCAGGAACACCGGUGGCGAAGGCGGCUCACUGGGUCUCUUCUGACGCUGAGGCACGAAAGCUAGGGUAGCGAACGGGAUUAGAUA
rnacentral:rRNA from 1 species